rnacentral:rRNA from 1 species
AGCAGUAGCCGCGGUAAUACGAAGGGUGCAAGCGCUAAUCGGAAUUACUGGGCGUAAAGCGUGCGUAGGCGGUGAGUUAAGUCUACUGUGAAAUCCCCGGGCUCAACCUGGGAAUGGCAGUGGAUACUGGGAAGCUAGAGUGUGUCAGAGGAUGGUGGAAUUCCCGGUGUAGCGGUGAAAUGCGUAGAGAUCGGGAGGAACAUCAGUGGCGAAGGCGGCCAUCUGGGACAACACUGACGCUGAGGCACGAAAGCGUGGGGAGCAAACAGGAUUAGAUACCCCGGUAGUCCCUGUCUCUUAUAC